rnacentral:tRNA from 1 species
GAGACUUUAAUUUAAUGGCAAAAUAUGUGACUUUUAAUCACCAAUAUAUGGGUUCGAAUCCCAUAGGUCUUA